CCUACGGGUGGCAGCAGUGAGGAAUAUUGGUCAAUGGGAGAGAUCCUGAACCAGCCAAGCCGCGUGAGGGAAGACGGCCCUAUGGGUUUUAAACCUCUUUUGUCGGAGAACAAAACCCGGUACGUGUCCCGGACUGCGUGUAUCCGAAGAAAAAGCAUCGGCUAACUCCGUGCCAGCAGCCGCGGUAAUACGGAGGAUGCGAGCGUUAUCCGGAUUUAUUGGGUUGAAGGGGUGCGUAGGCGGUCCGUUAAGUCAGCGGUAAAAUCGCGGGGCUCAACCCCGUAGAGCCGUUGAAACUGGCAGACUUGAGUGGGCGAGAGGUACACGGAAUGCGCGGUGUAGCGGUGAAAUGCAUAGAUAUCGCGCAGAACUCCGAUUGCGAAAGCAGCGUACCGGCGCCAGACUGACGCUGAGGCACGAAAGCGUGGGGAGCGAACAGGAUUAGAUACCCUUGUAGUC
rnacentral:rRNA from 1 species